GUGAAUAACUCAUCCUUGGUACAGUGGAUCUCCAAGAGCUUUUGAAUACUUUCACCACAUUAUGCUUGAAGAUAGAACUGCUUGUGUUUGCAAGGUUUUUUCUUGUUUAGUUGCUUUUGCUUCUCUUUUCUCUCUUGGUCCCCAGGGACCAGAAAGAAGACACAAGGCUGUCAAUGCAUAUGAGCACUCGCUCAGAGUCCAUAUGCUGCUUCCUAAAUCUUCCUUGACUGUAAUUCUCAGCUGGAGUGCUGCUACUGUCAGCCAGAGAUUCCUUGGACCUGCUUUCUUCAGCCACCUGGGUAGACAGGUAGCAUCACAUAACUUAGGCAGAGCCUUGGCUCAGUUUUCCUUUUCUUCCUUUCCUUGGUCCCAUGAAAGCAGCCUGUGGACUUCUCUGGGCCUGUAAACCAGAGGCAAAAUGCUAAGCCAGCAGAUGCUGCUCUGAUCCAGUUUUAGCAAAGCUUUUUAAAAAGCUUCUCCAAGCCUCUGUUCCUCGGAGAGCAGAGAACUAUAAAGGCCAAAACUUGUUUCCAUUUUAAUCAGAUCAUAAUUCCAGUAGGUGCCUGUGAAGCAGAAAAGAGCGGCUCUCUUCCUAUUUUAGAGAGCUGAAUAAUUCAGAUACCUUCUCUAGGCCUCCUCCUCUCUUCCAAGAUAAUAAUCGUCCCACAUUUUAAUGCUGCAACAAAACCAGCCACCCAGGACUUCACUGUGCUCACUAGGCUUUGUACUGACAGGAGGAGAAAAUGCAGAAAAGAAUUUUUUUUAAUUUAAUUGCUGGAACAUGAGUCCUGGGACAUCACUGCAUGUCUCUGGUUCCCUCAGAGGCUGGGCAGUGCAGGUCCCACAUGUAUGGCUAUGUGCUCACAUGGGAGCAUGGGGGAGGAUGUUUAUGCAGCCCAAGACUGGGGACUUGGCCUAAAUGGGAGAAAUCUUGCUGCAGUUUCCCUGUGGUUUUUGCCAUAUUGCUUUUUCAGUGAUAUGGCUGUGACUUGUUCCUCUACAUUCCCAGUUCGUGCUGAUGGGCAUGGUUGGGUUCAGCCAAGCAAGCAGAAGUUCCUGUGCUAUCAGAUUGUACCAUUAUAUAUUAAAUAAGAGCAGAACCAGAGUAAAUCUGUAGUGGGCAUACACACUGCAGUCCUUACCUGACAAUGUAAAUGUAAUGAGG
rnacentral:lncRNA from 1 species